rnacentral:rRNA from 1 species
GACGAACGCUGGCGGCGUGCUUAACACAUGCAAGUCGAACGGAAAGGCCCUGCUUUUGUGGGGUGCUCGAGUGGCGAACGGGUGAGAAUAACGUGAGUAACCUGCCCUUGACUUUGGGAUAAAUCCAGGAAACUGGGGCUAAUACCGGAUAGGAGCUCCUGCUGCACGGUGGGGGUUGGAAAGUUUCGGCGGUGGGGGCUGGACUCGCGGCUUAUGAGCUUGUUGGUGGGGUAGUGGCUUACCAAGGCUAUGACGGAUAGCCGGCCUGGGAGGGUGACCGGCCUCAUUGGGACUGAGAUACGGACCAGACUCCUACCGGACGCAGUAGUCGGGAGUAUUGCACAAUGGGCGCAAGCGUGAUACAGCCACGCCGCGUGCGGGAAGACGGCCUUCGUGUUGUAAACCGCUUUGGAAUUUACUGGACAGUGAGUGACGGUAAUGAAUAAAGAAGCCACGGCUAACUACGUG